GAUCGAAUUCAAGCCUGCUUUCGACCCAGUUCAACGAUUAUAAUGGACUUGGUUCACGCAAACGAGUUAUUGGUAAUGGCGUUCGAGGAGAAUGCACACCAGUAGCCCGUGGUGAUCGUGAACUCAUGGUGAUGGUGCUUCUUCCUAAGCAAAAGUGGAUUAAUAAAAGGCUAAAGAUUUUCGAUGAGCAGCCUUAUAAAGGUAGGAUUUUUCUUUUCUAUGCAUUAUUUUGCAACAGUGG